rnacentral:rRNA from 1 species
AUGCGUCAAGUACAAGAGCUUCUCGACAAAGGAGGCAUUAAUAAUAUUACUAUUCGUUAUCGUCAUCCUAUUCCUAGGCUACAUGAUAUGCUUGAUGAAUUGAGUGGCUCUACAAUAUUCUCCAAAGUUGAUUUGCGUAGUGGCUACCAUCAAAUUCGUAUGAAAUUGGGAGAUGAAUGGAAAACAGCAUUUAAAACUAAGUUUGGAUUAUAUGAGUGGUUAGUCAUGCCUUUUGGGUUAACUAAUGCACCUAGUACUUUCAUGAGAUUAAUGAACGAAGUUUUACGUGCUUUCAUUGGACGAUUUGUGGUAGUUUACUUUGAUGACAUAUUGAUUUAUAGAAGAUCUUUGGAGGAACAUUUGGAACAUUUACGUGCUGUUUUUAUUGCUCUACGUGAUGCACGUUUGUUUGGUAACCUUGGGAAGUGCACCUUUUGCACCGACCGAGUAUCUUUUCUUGGCUAUGUUGUUACUCCACAGGGAAUUGAAGUUGAUAAAGCCAAGAUUGAAGCUAUUGAGAGUUGGCCGCAGCCCAAAACGGUCACACAAGUGAGGAGUUUUCUUGGCCUCGCUGGAUUCUAUAGGCGUUUUGUGAGAGAUUUCAGCACCAUUGCUGCACCUCUCAAUGUGCUUACAAAGAAAGAUGUGCCUUUUCUUUGGGGUACCGCACAGGAAGAAGCCUUCACGGUAUUGAAAGAUAAGUUGACACAUGCUCCUUUACUCCAACUUCCUGAUUUUAAUAAGACUUUUGAGCUUGAAUGUGAUGCUAGUGGAAUUGGAUUAGGAGGUGUGUUAUUACAAGAUGGCAAACCUGUUGCAUACUUUUCUGAAAAAUUGAGUGGGCCUAGUCUGAAUUAUUCUACUUAUGAUAAAGAAUUAUAUGCUCUUGUUCGGACUUUAGAAACAUGGCAACAUUAUUUAUGGCCCAAAGAAUUUGUUAUACAUUCUGAUCAUGAAUCAUUGAAACAUAUUAAAAGUCAAGCUAAACUGAAUCGUAGACAUGCUAAAUGGGUUGAAUUCAUUGAGACUUUCCCUUAUGUCAUUAAACACAAGAAGGGAAAAGAAAAUGUUAUUGCUGAUGCUUUGUCUCGUCGCUAUACUAUGCUUUCACAACUUGACUUCAAAAUAUUUGGUUUGGAGACCAUCAAAGAUCAAUAUGUGCAUGAUGCUGAUUUUAAAGAUGUAAUGCAUAAUUGUAAAGAAGGAAGAAUGUGGAACAAGUUUGUUGUUAACGAUGGAUUUGUGUUUCGUGCUAACAAGCUAUGCAUUCCAGCUAGCUCCGUUCGUCUUUUGUUGUUGUAG